rnacentral:rRNA from 1 species
AUUGAACGCUGGCGGCAUGCUUUACACAUGCAAGUCGAACGGUAGAGGGGGCAACCCCUUGAGAGGGGCGAACGGGUGAGUAGUGCAUCGGAACGUGCCCAGUCGUGGGGGAUAACGCAGCGAAAGCUGUGCUAAUACCGCAUACGAUCUCUGGAUGAAAGCGGGGGACCGAAAGGCCUCGCGCGAUUGGAGCGGCCGAUGUCAGAUUAGGUAGUUGGUGGGGUAAAGGCCUACCAAGCCAGCGAUCUGUAGCUGGUCUGAGAGGACGACCAGCCACACUGGGACUGAGACACGGCCCAGACUCCUACGGGAGGCAGCAGUGGGGAAUUUUGGACAAUGGGCGCAAGCCUGAUCCAGCAAUGCCGCGUGCAGGAAGAAGGCCUUCGGGUUGUAAACUGCUUUUGUACGGAACGAAACGGUCUGGGUUAAUACCCUGGGCUAAUGACGGUACCGUAAGAAUAAGCACCGGCUAACUACGUGCCAGCAGCCGCAGUAA